rnacentral:rRNA from 1 species
GACGAACGCUGGCGGCGUGCUUAACACAUGCAAGUCGAACGGAAAGGCCCUGCUUUUGUGGGGUGCUCGAGUGGCGAACGGGUGAGUAACACGUGAGUAACCUGCCCUUGACUUUGGGAUAACUUCAGGAAACUGGGGCUAAUACCGGAUAGGAGCUCCUGCUGCAUGGUGGGGGUUGGAAAGUUUCGGCGGUUGGGGAUGGACUCGCGGCUUAUCAGCUUGUUGGUGGGGUAGUGGCUUACCAAGGCUUUGACGGGUAGCCGGCCUGAGAGGGUGACCGGCCACAUUGGGACUGAGAUACGGCCCAGACUCCUACGGGAGGCAGCAGUGGGGAAUAUUGCACAAUGGGCGGAAGCCUGAUGCAGCAACGCCGCAUGCGGGAUGACGGCCUUCGGGUUGUAAACCGCUUUCACCUGUGACGAAGCGUGAGUGACGGUAAUGGGUAAAGAAGCACCGGCUAACUACGUG